rnacentral:ncRNA from 1 species
CUAAUAACCGUGACAGGGACUAGUAAUGAUGUUCGUGCUUUUUAGAGAGUUGGCGGCUGGUGCGAGCCAAUAGGACGGCAUGAUGAACUCCCCCUUGAGUUGCAGUCGUGAACAGCGAUUAGUAAGGACUGCCGCAGAUCUGCGUUAAAGACUUGAGCCGGACGUGUUUUACAUACGUCAACUAGGGUGGUACCGCGGGUAAAAGCUGAUGAACAGCCUCUCGUCCCUUAC